rnacentral:rRNA from 1 species
UACGAAGGGGGCUAGCGUUGUUCGGAUUCAUUGGGCGUAAAGGGUGCGUAGGCGGCGGGGCAAGUCUGAUGUGAAAUCCCGGGGCUCAACCCCGGAACUGCAUUGGAUACUGCCUUGCUUGAGUACUGGAGAGGAGACUGGAAUUUACGGUGUAGCAGUGAAGUGCGUAGAUAUCGUAAGGAAGGCCAGUGGCGAAGGCGAGUCUCUGGACAGUUACUGACGCUGAGGCACGAAGGCCAGGGGAGCAAACGGG